rnacentral:rRNA from 1 species
CGGGGGGGCAAGCGUUGUUCGGAAUUACUGGGCGUAAAGGGCUCGUAGGCGGCCAACUAAGUCAGACGUGAAAUCCCCAGGCUCAACCUGGGAACUGCGUCUGAUACUGGUUGGCUUGAAUUCGGGAGAGGGAUGCAGAAUUCCAGGUGUAGCGGUGAAAUGCGUAGAUAUCUGGAGGAAUACCGGUGGCGAAGGCGGCAUCCUGGACCGACAUUGACGCUGAGGAGCGAAGGCUAGGGGAGCAAACGGGAUUAGAUACCCCGGUAGUCCUAGCCCUAAACGAUGAAUGCUUGGUGUGACGGGUAUCGAUCCCUGUCGUGCCGAAGCUAACGCAUUAAGCAUUCCGCCUGGGGGAGUACGGUCGCAAGGCUG